ACCCCUCGGAACACGACCCCGUCGGGCGGGCCAC
rnacentral:rRNA from 1 species